GUCGGGUGUGGUGGUGCACACCUGUAAUACCAGCAGCUCAGAAGGUUGAGGCAGGAGGAUCAUGAGUCACGAUCAUGAGUCAUGCCAACCUCCGCAAAAGUGAGGUGGUAAGCAACUCAGUGAGACCUUGUCUCUA
rnacentral:sRNA from 1 species